UACAGAGGGGGCAAGCGUUGUUCGGAAUUACUGGGCGUAAAGGGCGCGUAGGCGGCCUGUUAAGUCGAACGUGAAAUCCCUGGGCUCAACCCAGGAACUGCGUCCGAUACUGGCAGGCUUGAAUUCGGGAGAGGGAUGCGGAAUUCCAGGUGUAGCGGUGAAAUGCGUAGAUAUCUGGAGGAAUACCGGUGGCGAAGGCGGCAUCCUGGACCGGCAUUGACGCUGAGGAGCGAAAGCCAGGGGAGCAAACGGG
rnacentral:rRNA from 1 species